GUACUAGCUAAGGCAGCACAUAUACUAAAAUUGGAAUGAUACAGAGAAGAUUAGCAUGGCCCCUGCUCAAAGAUGACACGAAAUUUGUGAAGUGUUCCAUACUUUU
ensembl:snRNA U6 U6 spliceosomal RNA